GGAAUAGCUCAGUUGGUAGAACAUGAGACUCUUAAUCUCAGGGUCGUAGGUUGGAACCCCACUUUGGGCA
rnacentral:tRNA from 1 species